GUAGGUGGCAAGCGUUGUCCGGAAUUAUUGGGCGUAAAGCGCGCGCAGGCGGUUUUUAAGUCUGAUGCGAAAGCCCACGGCUCAACCGUGGAGGGUCAUUGGAAACUGGAGAACUUGAGUACAGAAGAGGAAAGCGGAAUUCCACGUGUAGCGGUGAAAUGCGUAGAGAUGUGGAGGAACACCAGUGGCGAAGGCGGCUUUCUGGUCUGUAACUGACGCUGAGGCGCGAAAGCGUGGGGAGCAAACAGGGAUUAGAUACCCUGGUAGUCCACGCCGUAAACGAUGAGUGCUAAGUGUUAGGGGGUUUCCCGCCCCUUAGUGCUGCAGCUAACGCAUUAAGCACUCCGCCUGGGGAUACGGCCGCAAGGCUG
rnacentral:rRNA from 1 species